rnacentral:snRNA from 1 species
UUACUUACCUGGCAUGGGUGACAACAUGAUCACAAAGAUAUUUUUCCCAUCCAUUGCAUAUUACUAAAUUCCUAAAAUUUCCCCAAAUGUGGGAAACUCAUUUGAAUAAUUUGUGAUAUUAGGGAACUGCGUUCACAUUCUCUC